rnacentral:rRNA from 1 species
CAACGUAGGUAAUCUACCCUUUUGAGUGGGGGAAUAACAAUCGGAAACGAUUGCUAAUACCGCAUAAUGCAGCGGCAUCGCAAGAUGACAGUUGUUAAAGGAGCAAUUCGCUUAAAGAGGAGCCUGCGGCAGAUUAGCUAGUUGGUAAGGUAAUGGCUUACCAAGGCUACGAUCUGUAACCGACCUGAGAGGGUGGUCGGUCACACUGACACUGAAUAACGGGUCAG